UCACAGGUCUCGGCUUUCUUCCUCUUCCCACCUUUCUUUUGUUUGCAGCUUCCCUCACUGAAAGAGGAACUUUAGGUUCAGGACCUCGAGAAAACACACACACACCCGGACACUCCGGACAGCCUGUGAGGAAUCAUUUCAAGAGUUCAUCUUAUGUUUUAGGACACAGCAGCUGCAUCAUUCUUUGCUUCUUAUUCCCUCGCCCAUCAUGAGCACACCUUCCCCCGUUCUCCUACCGAAAGGCUUCGACUACAGGUCGCCUACCUGUGGAGUGUAUCAAUGCAACAGCCAUGGGACCUGUGCGCCCCCCCCGGACGACAGCGUCGACCUGGUGUGCAACUGCAACCUGGGAUACGCGGGCCAGUUCUGCGAGGACACGGUCAACGGGGCCCUGAGCGCACCUCUGACCCUGAGUGUGAUCGUCGUGAUCGUGGGGCUGCUGAUCCUGGCUUUCAUCGUUGCAAAGUUGAGACAGAGACAGAAGAAGGAGCAAAGGAGACGUGUGGCAACCAAACAGGGCUACAACAUUGCUGUAUAAUGUGGAUAAAUAUAGCUGAUAUAUAAGGUGAACUGUGUGGACAGACAGCGACACUAUUUAGCUUCCAGCUGCGUCCCUCUGCGGAGCUCACAGCCAUGACUCUUGCAAAAUGCUGGAAGAGAUCAACAUUUCUGUCUUGCUGACUGACUUUUUGUGUCUGAUCUUACUGGCGGUGCCUAACUCGAUUACUGACCUGACAAACUGAAGUAACUUGGGCAACUGGUUUGAUUAGAUCCGUGCGAUACUACAAAACUCUGAUUUAAAAAAAAAAAAAACCUGUUUCCUAAAAACAUUGCCUUCAUAUCUCUUCAGCGAUCCCAGGUAGCAGAUGAGCGUCUUAGAUAUUCACAGAUGUUAGUUUUACCUGAAGAAAACAGCAGAUAAAUCAACCACAUGUUGACUUCAUACACGUAUAUAAUUUAAAAACUUUAUGUGCAUUUGUGCAAAAGUCUCCAUCACCUGCUUCGUGGUGUUUUUUGACUGAGCUUGUCCCUCUCCUUUACAUCAGUUUUCAGUGCCUUAAUGGAAUGAUUGCAUUGUCUAUGUUGAAUUCAUAGCUGGGAUGUCAGGAUUUGUCUGUACAUGUGUCCAGGUCUGCUUCCUGAAUCACAUUACCUGCAUGCAAACUUUUGUUUCCAUGGAUGGGCGGAUUGUGUUUUCUCACUCCAGCUGCAGUUUUCACAAUCGUGCUAAAGUUCACCCAUUAGUUACUCCCUAUGAGGGAGCUGCACCUUUUUCAUACCUGCACACUUCGAUGUUGGCCUCAAUACUGAAGGAUGGCUUCCACAGUUCCUGAAACCAAAACAUGCACUCUCAUAACUUCCGUCCUCUUUUUGUAAAUCAAUAAGGCUCACACUAACCAGAAUUUUUUUUAACUCAUUGAAUAGAUUCAAAAGUGUUUGCACAUUUAUUGCAAUAAUACUUGUGUGUUUACCUGCCUCCAUCGUCUGUGUUUUACAUUUUGUCCUCACUCCCCCUGCAGAAAAGCACCUGGACACCGCUGGCAUUGCUUAUCUGUUAUUUCUGUCUGUUUCAAAACAGCAGGGCUUUUCAGUUUGUUAUUACAACCCCUGAGAGUCGUGGAAGCCAAUUUCAACACGAGCUUAUACAAAACCAGACACGGUAAUGCUUUUAGCUCUGCACUCCCAGACUCUUAAGUUUGGAGGCUGAUUUUGAACUUCAAAGUUACGCAGUGCUCACCUUCCCUGAUUGACUAAUCAAGUCACUUUAUGUAACACAGACGGCGUUAAGUGUUUUUAGGGGCUUUAUUUUUAGUUUUCUUAUGCGCUUCUGACUGAACCACCCUGUUCUCUCAUGCCUUUUAUUCAGACUGCUGGUCGUCGCAUUAUCAAAACAGAUAUUAUGAUUUUGUUUCUAUUGUGUCAAAGCUGCUUUCUACAAUUAUGUCCAGUUAAACAGAUGUAGCAGUUUUAUAAAUGUAUGAUGUUCGCAUGUGCUUUUAUGUCUGACAAACGUUUGAUCAAAUAUUGGCUGGGCUGCAUAUAGUCCAGUUAUCUACCUGAAUCAGUAAAAGGUUUGCAUGAUAAUCUUUAAGAACUGCCACGUUUUGUCUGAUUUUUGUGCAAAUAUGAGAAUAGUAGGAAAAUAUUCACAUUUUAUGUACUUACUACAUUUGUUUUGAACAAUCUGAAAUUACUUUAUAAGAAAGUGCAAUCAGAAAUCGUCUUUCCCACUGUGAUUCUUUUCAGAUUUAUUGGAUAAGAAUGUCUGAGACUGAACAGUUCCUGCAACAUUAAGCAUGCAUGUUUUCACAAAGUAGUUGUCAACGUAUGGAGUCAUUUCAUUGGCAAAAAGGCAGUAAAUUCUCACUACUGCUGCUGCACCAUUGAUUUCUCAAGUAUUGUUGCCUUCAGUUCUUCUCUGUACUCUGGCUGAAAAUGUGUGACUCCUAGUGGACAAAUAGAGAAGUAUAGUUUUUGUUAUUUGCAAAAUGCAAAAUUGUCUUU